AUUUAAGAGUGUGGAUUUGGAUUUGGAAGGCCCAAAUACAAAGUAGCCCGUUUGGUACAAAUUUUGCAUUGAAGAUUUGGAUUUGAUGAAAUCAGCCCACUGAUUUCAUUAAACAAAAUGGGGAGAUUCUAACUAGGGUACCCUAGUUAUUUCAAAUCUCUUUCUCUCUCGCUUUCAGAACAACGGAGAUCGAUUUCAAAAUAUCGGAGCUCGCUUUCUCUCCUCUUGCCUUCUCUACGAAUAGCAGAGGUUGGGCUUCAAUCGGUGUGAGAUUUGGUGAAGAUUCCUUUGCUAAAGUCUGAGAUUGAUGGUCUGCACCAGGAGCUUAUGCAUGCUAGAAGUGCAAUAGAUUAUGAAAAGAAGGCAAAUAUUGAGCUUAUGGAACAGAGACAGGCAAUGGAGAAUAACCUAGUUUCUAUGGCUUGUGAAGUUGAGAAACUUCGUGCAGAACUUGCUAGAGUUGAUGGUAGACCGUGGGGUGCAGGGCAACCAAGGAAUAGAGAGUGAGCAUGACAAUUUGGAUUCGCAUGAGAUGAAAUUAUAGAGAUGAAACACCUAUUAAUAUUAUUAUUUUUAUGUUUUUUUUUUUUUUUAGAAUAUUAGAUGAAACACUUCGGAUUUGUAUAAUUAAGGAUAUGAGAUGGAACACGUAUUCGGAUUUAUAUUGCUUUUGGAAAUAUGGAGCAUGACAAUUAUCUCCAUAGAAAUUAAAUGCUAAAGAAAAUCUUCCUUCAUUAAAUUAGUAUCACAUAAGUAGCUUUCUUCAUUAGUUUUGAAUUCUUAAAUUCAAAUCCUCAUGAUUCAAUUGUUACCCAAACAGAUGAAUUUGAAAUCUUAGGAUUUCAAUUACUCAGAU